CCUCCCUCCCUGCAGCAAGUGUUGGGUGUGCAGAGACAUUUCCCACUGCGCCCACAGUAAUCCCUGUCGGUGUGGCUAUUGGCACUCUUGGGGAAAACAUUUCAGGCAUGAUUAUUUUUGAUUGUGAGCUUUGUGGCCUGAGCUCCACCAGCCUGGGCUUGUUUAGUUUAAAAAGGAGCCAAGAAAGUGCUGCCAACAGGGCAGUUAUCAACAACCAUGCAGGACAUGAAACAGCAAGAGUCUCAUCCCCACUAGCCCAGGACAGCCUUCAUAAAGAAAGCACCCCAGGUCUGAGCUAUGACACAGUGCACCCUGUUGCUCAUGGCAUUCUCCCCUUGCAGCACAAACUCCUUCCACAGGGCUCCCCAGGACACUCUGGGCACCGGGCUGCGCCAGGGACAGCCAGGACAGCUGCAGCAGCCCGGGGCGAGCAAACCCCUUUGGGGCAGGGGACCUCGGCUCAGGGCAGGGCUUUCCCCACGGCAGGGAUGGAGGCAAAGCAGGAUGGGCACAGCACUUCUGCCAGGGCUGACAUCCCGGGAGGAAAGUCAGACCCUCCUCUCCCUCCGAAGUUUGGAUCAUGCCGGGUGAGAACCCAGCAGACAUGGGCAAAAUGGGUCAUGGACCAUGGCACCGUCAGCAGGAGCUGCAGCGAGCAUCCAGGAAUGAAAAUGUGAAACUUUCUCGGCACUGGGCAGCCUGGAAGGGAAUAAAAUUACAUCAUUCCUCACAGCACAGGCUCAUUUUGUUAGGCACAAAAGAUCACUGUGGAGAAGUUCAGAGGGUAGAAUCCAGUGAAGAAAGAAAUCUAAUACUCAUCUGUGAACCAAGAUUAGCUUAACAAUUUU
rnacentral:lncRNA from 12 species